UCCAAUAUGUCCCUAUUCUGAAGUCACUGCUUCAGGUUUUGAGCCAAAAUGACAUCCAGGAUUUGAUCUUGCAUGAUGGAGAGACUCAAAGUAAUGGUAAAACUCAGUACACAGCAUUUUCUGAUGGCGUGUAUUAUAAAACAAAUGAGUUGUUUUCUGGAGAAGAUCCUGCCAUUGCUAUUAUUCUCAUAUGUUGAUGACUUUGAGAUAUGUAAUCCUCUGGGCACAUAAAGGAAAAAACACAAAGUGACAGCUGUGUAUUGGGUGUUAGUUGAUGUCUCUGCACUACUCAGAUCUUUGCUAACCUCCAUCUUCUUAGCAAUUCUGUGCAAAUCUGAUGAUGUGAAAGAUUUGGUUACAGUACUGUACUGGAUUCAUUGCUUAAGGAUCUUGGGAGCUUAGAAGAGGAGGGCCUGUAUGUUCCAGCAUUAGGCAGAAGAAUCAAAGGAAGUGUUUUGUGUUGUGGCUGAUAAUCUUGGGGCACAUUCUGUUGGGGGAUUGUUGAAAACUUCUCCAGUUCUCAUACUUGUAGAUUUUGUUUGUGUGAGCAGUCACAGUUUCAGGUGGAAGAAGUGAGAUCAGGGGCAUUUCAACUCAGAACCAAGGAACAACAUGAAAUUCAUGUUCAGACUAUACAGGAGAAUACAGCUUAGACUCAUGUCUGUGGAGUCAAGAGAAAGUGUGCACUGACAGAGAAUCUUAUGUAUUUUAAUGUUUUGUCAGGCUACCCGCCUGAUGUGUUGCAUGACCUGUUUGAAGGCAUAGUCCCCCGAGAAUUGGCUCUGUCUUCAGGUUUUUAUCAAGAGUAAAUAUUUCACUCUUGAUGAACACAACAAAAGCAUUAAAAUAUUCCCCUACAAAUCGUCAAACAAGAGUGAUGCACCACAGGCAGUCCCUCUGAAUUUUGCAGCUAAAAAAAGUGUUGGAGGGAACGCCCGUGAAAACUGCUCAUUGCUGCGAUUCCUGCCCCUAAUAAUUGGAUCCAAAAUCCCUGAGGGUGAACCAGCAUGGGAAGUACUUCUAGUGCUCAAAGACAUAGUUGAGCUUGUCGUAAGUCAUGUUCACACAGAGGAGAGUAUUUGUUACCUAGACGGUAAAAUCUCUGAACACAGACACAAGUUUCUCCAGGUUUUCCCACAUGAAAAACUAAUCCCCAAACAUCAUUACCUGGAACAUUAUCCCCAUCUGAUCAGGGCCUAUGGUCCACCAGUGUUACUUUGGACUAUGCGGUUUCAAGCCAAACACAUUAAGCGUGUUGUCAGGCACACUCACAGCUUUCGAAAUAUUCUGCUGUCACUUUCCAUGAAGCAUCAGCUGAUGAUUGCAUAUCACCAGCAUGAUCCCAGUGUUGUGAAGCCUGCCUUACAGGCCACACAUCUGUCUACUGUAGAUGUUAUUGUGCUAAGCCAAGAUAUCCAGGAAGCAAUACAGGCAAAAAUCCCUGGCGAAACACGCAUUCAGAUUGCCAACAAUGCCUGUUACUGUGGCACAAAAUAUGCAAUUGGUAUGAUUUUGGCCAAUGGCUCAACGGUCGGUCUGACAGCUUUUGGAGAGCUGAUCCAAAUAGUUGUUGUGAAGGGUGCACUUUUAUUCAUUGUUAAAUGCUUGACUUCUUGGUAAGUUGAACAUCUCAGGAGCUAUGUCCUUGAGAAAACACACAGUGUGAAAGUGCUUGAGCCUGCAGAGUUAUGUGACAUGUUCCCUUUAAUACCUUACAAAAUUGGUGGAAAAAGCAUUGUAACGCUGAAACGCCACAUUUCUGUUACAUAGACCAAAAUACCAAAAUAUCUUCAUCUGUCAAAUCUGGAAAUCAGAACUGGAACAAAAAGUUUUUAGGCCAGUUUUGUGAAACAUCGACAAUAUUCUGUGACCAACAUAUUGCUUUUUUGCUUCAAGGUUUAGGCCUGCCUUGCUACAAUUUCAUUGUUAUUUACAUGCACGAUGCAAUUGCAGUGUAAGAAGAGGCCCUGCUUUAAUGAUAGAGGACAUCAUGUUUUCAUUUUAAAGAAUAAACAAGCAGAAAUAGAAAUACAUGUCUUAAAGUGUUGGUCAAAUACUGUGUAAAACCUAUACAACUCUGUGAGAAACACAAUAUGGUAUUUCUUACUGACUCUUGUAAAUUUGCUCCUUUCAAAUAUUUUGUGUAUUGCAGAUUAAUCAGUGUCACAACCAGCCCAUCUCAGAGUGAUACUUUCAGACCAUGAUGUCCAGAAACUGACAUUACUGAAAUUACUGGAAUUCCUGGAACAGUUGGAGAACUUCUUUCAGUUGUUCAAGAUACAUUUGGAAUUUAUGGGGAAUUUUGUUUGCACUACAAGGAUGCUGAUUUUGGUAACAACUUUUUCUCCUUGCUUUCAACAAGUGACAUCUCAGAUAAGGACACAAUCAAGGUUGUACAUGUCCUACAACCAUCAACAGUUACUUUGACCCUAUCAGAUGCAAACAGCUCCUUCUCGAGCCUUACUGAUGGUUGUCUUCAGCCUUCUGAUGAUGCCAGCUCGUCUGUGUCCUCCCAUGACACAUUGCCUGUUUCUCCAGGACCAUCGACGGAAAGCCCAACCCAACUUUCAAAGAGUUGGCCGUCAGAUUUUGCAAUCCCUCAUUUCUCUUCCAGUACAGAGAUUCUGCUGCAGUCAGGCAAUGACAAAUUAGAUUCUUCUGGAACUCUUUUCAGUACCAAAGGUCUCAUGUCACUACUUCCAGACAUUCUUAGAACUUUAGCUGAGGCCGUUUUUGAGUACACUGCUUAUCCAUCAAGUGCACAACUAGUUCAAGUAGCAGAAGCCCUGAUCAAAAAACAUCCCUGCCUCAAAGAACCUGGAUCUUUCAAUGGAUGUUAUGGCUGGAUCCAGCUACUCAAAUAUGAACAACUUCAGAUCCAAACUUCAAGGUGGUGGUUAUCCAGAGAUUGUCGUGAACUCACUCAAGAGGAAACCACCACAUGAGCAGACUCCUGCUAAAAACAUUAAAAAGCCCAAAAAGGCAGAAGUAAAUUACCUACCACCUCAUCCUCAAGGUGAAACAAGUGCAAGUUUGGAGAAAGAGAGAGUGGACCUCUUACAUGAAGUGGUGAAAAAUGAUAAUUGCUGCGUGGUUGCUGAGAAAAUGGCAAAAACAUUCUCUCUUCGUAGGCAAGAAAUCAUUUAUGAGGCUCCUGCUAUAAAGGAUUUCAUGGAGCGCUGGCUUGCUUUGCUUGAUGCAAUACAUGUAAGUUUUUUCACCUAUAUUUUAAAUUUAACAUAAUGAAAUUAACUGUUAAAAUUUUUGACUUAUUUUAUUAUUUUACAUGAUCCUUUCCUCUACAUCAUCAUAUGCAUGUUCUCCUUGUUUUGAAAUUAUUUUUUAAAACAUCAAUGCAAAAAGUAGAACACAUUCAUACAUUAGAACAUUCUUGAACACAAUACCAAGCAGAAUUAUGAAAAUAGCCUGCCUGCAGCUUUAACAUUACAAGGCAAUUGAAAAAAAAAACCCUAUGCAACAUGGAUGAUAUAUCCACAACAAGUUUUAAGUCUUUCAAAUGAAAUUAAUACCUUCUUAGAAGAUAUUAACAAAAUACUGGUCAGUAAUGAAGGGUCAUUCAGCUGCUAGGCUUUUUUUUCGCGCUGCACCUCAGAAUUCAUAUUUCAAUAUUUAAUGUAGGAGGUGCUUUUCUUUACCUAUUGACAUAUAGUAUGGUAAUAUUCAUUGGUAAAUGUCACACCAGUAUUCUUAAUUGUCUGCAGGAAUUUUAUUUUUUUCUGUUUGUGUACAGAUAAAUGACAAAUUCAAAAGAAUAACUACCAUAAGCCUGGAAUCUACUUUUAUGCACAAACUUGAUCAGUGCACCCCAAAACUGAUGGACACAGUAACAUCAAGGGGAGGAGCUACAGGUACAAGAAUCAGGAAGAUCAAAGACAUGCUUCUUGAGCACAAUAUGAUUGAUGUACGCAGAGAAGUAGCCAUCCCCUGUCUUGUUGUGUACCUCGGAGAAAAGGAAGAGGACCUUUUCAGGGAGUUUAGUGCCACAGAAGAGUUUGAGGCAGGCCAAGUCAACCCCAGGACCUGACCACAAGACUGCAACCAUCGUGGUUGAGGGAACCAAAAUCCUUGAGGGAAAGGAUAUUCCAAGGUGCUGUGCUUUGCUGAUGGGCAUCAUUUAUGCUCUGAAUCUGAGCUAUCGCAAGGAACUCAAAUAUACUUUUGAAGUCUUUCAGAAGCUGUUUCUUGAACUCGAUGGACUGAGCCAGCACAAAAGUAGUGAGUCUCUAGAACAGCAUCGUUUGAGGGGGCCAUUUGUUUCAGAGCAGUGUUUAUUUAGAUAUUGUCUUUUUUGUUUGUUUUAAAGUCCACUGAAGAGGCUAUGAAACUGCUGAAACAAAACACAAGACAAAAUUCAAGAUAAUUUCUUUCUUCUUUUGUUGGUUUGGGUAUGUUUGUGUAACCAAUCUUAGCUUGAGAUUUGAAAAAACAAAAAUGAUAUUGAAAGGGAUAGAUGGUUUAGUCCACACAGGUGACGUAACAGGUAAUGUACAGAAUCUACAAUUUUUGUGUUUUAGAAACAAAUGAUGUGGACUUGACUAAUUAGUUACAUAUGCAACUUACAUAGAGCAACUUUAUAAAAAUUUCAUUGCAUGUUACUUGGCAUAUGCUGUUAUCUUCGCUGAGACUCAGGUUUUAACAGGUUACAGUUGUUAAAUAUGUAUUUUGGAUGUAUUUCAUAAUCUGUUGUUCCACUUUUAGGACUGGCUUAGACUCUUAUACCAUGUUAGUCUGCAUAUAUUCCUUUAAAGAGGCAUACUGAUGCAUAGAAUUUUUGACAUACUGUGUCAGAAACUGAUUACCAUGAAAACAUCCUCAUCAUUAUUUUUGUAGAAUUGUUAGUAAAGAUCUUUACUAUAUUAUGUUAAAAAAAAUGUGCAGAACCCUUAGAAGUUUAGUGACAGUUGAGAGUUAUCCAACUUGCUUGGAAUUUUAUUACUGUAGUUUAAGAAAAUGUUAAAAAUGUUUCACAGAAUGAUUUAAAAUUUGGAGUUCUAAAGUUUGUACAUGUUUGGCACUGUGGUUUUAACUACGGAAAGGCCUAUAACUUUGCUGUGAUGGCAUAACUAGUUUGUUGUGAUGGCAUAAUUCGGUAUGGUUACAACUUAAUUUUACAAGGCAGUAUGGCCACAUCGUUUAUUUAGAACUUGUGGGGCAAUUUAAGUUUGUGAACUUUUCCUCUAAAUAUAGAAAAAAAUAAAAAGUUAACAAACAGUUUUGAUGCUGAGUGAAUUCAUUUUAUAAAGCUGGAAUAAAAGCAUAAAAAAUAUAAUUGGCACAACUUAAUUUUUUAACAGUUGUCAGCUUACAGUUUUUCUCAAUUAAGACACUGUUUCUGAAAAAUAGCACACAUUUCCCAACACACCGCACACUAUUUUCUUUAUUUGAACACAAUUCACAAAGCACUGCACACUUGUGUCAGAAGCGCACUUUAUUGUCAAAAUUUGAACUUUGUUUUCAAA